GUUUCACUUUCGGUUUUACUACUUCCGGGUACAACAACAUGUGGAAUAUAUAAAGUCGUAACAGAGAAUCGGCACUAAUAUGUAAUUUGGAGUAUUGUUAAGCGAUCGACUUCAUACAUGAGACUGGGAAAACCCUGCCAUGUAGUUUAUUUAGGUUCCUAGUCGAUGCUACAGUAAGGAAGCGGUGGAUACAAAGAUGUAGACACAAAGUUACGAAACCUGCUGAAGCAGAAGCAUCUGCUUCAAACGUACAUGUAGGAACCGAAGUUGAUACUGCUACCAAUAUAUCUGUACCAGACAACAAUGAAGUGCAUCUACAUGAUCACGAAUAUACAGCACCAAACCCUCAACAUUUAAAAAGCUUGAAACCAUCCUUGACAACUGGUAACAUCAUAAUUGAAAGACCCUGGAAAGGGAUCAUGAACACUGUUGGGAGUGUUCAUUCAACUGAAAUAUAAAAGUCAGAAGAAUUGAAGAUUGCAAUGGAUGCAACAGAAGUGACCUAAUAUGACCAAAUUGAUAUGAAUAGCCAGUUUUUCGCUUGCAGUAAUGACAAGAGUCGCCACAAAGAAAAGACCUUAAUGUGUAUUACGAUUGAAAAUUUGUCAUUUAUUACAAUACCAAAUGACGAAAGAAAUCUUCAACAUAAGAUUUUGGGGGAAAUCAGAUAAUACAUUCUACAUGAAAGUACCUGCAAAGCUAAAUUACUCAAAGUCUGAUUUCCCCCAAAGAAGACAAAAUAACUUAAAUAAUGCUACGCUAU